UACGAAGGGGGCUAGCGUUGCUCGGAAUGACUGGGCGUAAAGGGCGCGUAGGCGGUUUGGACAGUCAGAUGUGAAAUUCCUGGGCUCAACCUGGGGGGCUGCAUUUGAUACGUUCGGACUAGAGUGGGGAAGAGGGUCGUGGAAUUCCCAGUGUAGAGGUGAAAUUCGUAGAUAUUGGGAAGAACACCGGUGGCGAAGGCG
rnacentral:rRNA from 1 species